rnacentral:rRNA from 1 species
AUGAAAGAAAGAUAUGCGGUAACUGAUAUGAUGAAGCUUGCAAACCGAAUGCAGUUUGGAAUACCAGAGGAGAGCUCAUUAGGUGAUGGUUUGGGGGAAGGUUACGGCAUGCUCGGGCAGGCCGGAAGUGGGAAGCUACGUGUCUCAGCUGCACAGAACAAACUUGCUGCUAAAGUGGCAAAAAAAUUCAAGGAGAAGAGUUAUGGUAGCAGUGGUGCAACAUCUGGACUGACAUCUAGUUUGACCUUUACACCAGUUCAGGGAAUAGAACUGUCAAACCCACAGGCACACGGGAACCUUCUUGGAAGUGGAAUCCAGAGCACCUACUUCUCGGAGACCGGCACAUUUUCUCGGAUCAGUAGGCCUGGAGAUUAG